GAUGAAGAACGUAGCGAAAUGCGAUAAGUAAUGUGAAUUGCAGAAUUCAGCGAAUCAUCGAAUCUUUGAACGCACAUUGCGCCCCCCGGCAUUCCGGGGGGCAUGCCUGUCCGAGCGUCAUUGCGCCCCUCGAGCCCGCGCGGGUUUCGGUGUUGGGCCGCCGUCCCCCGGGGGGGGGGACGGGCCCGAAAGGCAGUGGCGGCCCCGGGGCGACUUCCCGCGCGAUCGCAGCACCUCGCGGCCGAAGCGUUCGCCCCGCGGGCCCGCCUGGACCACCAGUGUGACGUACCGGUUGACCUCGGAUCAGGCAGGGAUACCCGCUGAACUUAAGCAUAUCAAUAAGCGGAGGA
rnacentral:misc_RNA from 1 species